rnacentral:rRNA from 1 species
GAUGAACGCUGGCGGCGUGCCUAAUACAUGCAAGUCGAGCGAACAGAUAAGGAGCUUGCUCCUUUGACGUUAGCGGCGGACGGGUGAGUAACACGUGGGUAACCUACCUAUAAGACUGGGAUAACUUCGGGAAACCGGAGCUAAUACCGGAUAAUAUUUCGAACCGCAUGGUUCGAUAGUGAAAGAUGGUUUUGCUAUCACUUAUAGAUGGACCCGCGCCGUAUUAGCUAGUUGGUAAGGUAACGGCUUACCAAGGCGACGAUACGUAGCCGACCUGAGAGGGUGAGCGGCCACACUGGAACUGAGACACGGUCCAGACUCCUACGGGAGGCAGCAGUAGGGAAUCUUCCGCAAAGGGCGAAAGCCUGACGGAGCAACGCCGCGUGAGUGAUGAAGGUCUUCGGAUCGUAAAACUCUGUUAUUAGGGAAGAACAUACGUGUAAGUAACUGUGCACGUCUUGACGGUACCUAAUCAGAAAGCCACGGCUAACUACGUG